rnacentral:rRNA from 1 species
CUACGGGAUGCUGCAGUGAGGAAUAUUGCACAAUGGAGGAAACUCUGAUGCAGCAACGCCGCGUGGAGGAUGACGCAUUUCGGUGUGUAAACUCCUUUUAUAUGUCAAGAAAAUGACGGUAGCAUAUGAAUAAGCUCCGGCUAACUCCGUGCCAGCAGCCGCGGUAAUACGGAGGGAGCAAGCGUUAUUCGGAAUCACUGGGCGUAAAGGACGCGUAGGCGGGAUAGAAAGUCAGGUGUGAAAUCCUAUGGCUCAACCAUAGAACUGCACUUGAAACUUCUAACCUAGAGUAUGGGAGGGGAAGAUGGAAUUUGUGGUGUAGGGGUAAAAUCCGUAGAUAUCACUAGGAAUACCAAAAGCGAAGGCGAUCUUCUGGAACAAUACUGACGCUAAGGCGUGAAAGCGUGGGGAGCAAACAGGAUUAGAUACCCCCGUAGUC